rnacentral:rRNA from 1 species
GCAGUAGCCACGGUAAUACAGAGGGUGCGAGCGUUAAUCGGAUUUACUGGGCGUAAAGCGUGCGUAGGCGGCUUUUUAAGUCGGAUGUGAAAUCCCUGAGCUUAACUUAGGAAUUGCAUUCGAUACUGGGAAGCUAGAGUAUGGGAGAGGAUGGUAGAAUUCCAGGUGUAGCGGUGAAAUGCGUAGAGAUCUGGAGGAAUACCGAUGGCGAAGGCAGCCAUCUGGCCUAAUACUGACGCUGAGGUACGAAAGCAUGGGGAGCAAACAGGAUUAGAUACCCGCGUAGUCCCUGUCUCUUAUCA